rnacentral:lncRNA from 1 species
UUUUUUUUUUUUUUGGUUUUUUUUUUUUUUUAAAUUUUCUUUAAAGUUUUCGAUCUCUAAGUUCGUUUACAGUAUAGAAGAAUGGAAAUAAUAAAGUUUUGUUAUGGUAAAAUUACACUUUUUAAAGUUUUGACUGCACCCAUGCAAGAGCAAAGAGAGCACUGAAGCAUUUCAUCUGCUUGGCCAGAAUAUUUUUUUUAUUCAUCAAUUUGGGGAUCAGAAUAUUUUUUUAGGAAAACACUAUAACCCCCUUGAAGUUGAAUGGUCGUUCCCUGAUCACGUGAGCAUUAUUCUUUAUGAAGUUAGACUGCACUGCUGAUGACAUUUCUUUUUUUUAGUAGUAUGUGUUACCAACUUCUUUUACCAAAACUUGCAAAGUUUUCGGUUUCUUAAUAUGCAUAUGGUCAUGGUACUUCUUUGAUAGUAAUACCAGAUAGGUGGCAUGUUAAAAUCUGUUUCUGUGAUAUUAGAACGAAUAAUUCAAAUACGGCCACGUCAACAACUAUUCUACGAAGGGGUGUCUGGAUUGGAGAGGAGGGGGGGUCUUUCAUAUCUGUAUUCCAUAAUAUUUUUUUUGUCAUUUUCUCUAUUCUUUAUACUUUUUGCCCAAUUAUUUUCUAAUCUUUAUAUUUUAGCACAUCAUUUUUCUCUAUUCUUUGUUAUUGGUCCAUUUUGAUCUUUUCUUUAAAUUUCCGCCCAUUAUUCUAUGUUCUAUAAACCCACCCUCACACCCCCAUGAAGUUCUUCUCAUGAAGUAUAUUUUCUAUUACGGCAGUUAAUAACCUUUGUCGAACUAUUGGGGUGUCGGACCAGUGGGGUGUCGGAAUAAUGAGGUGUCGGAAUAUCUGGGCCGACCCCCAUUAGUCCAAUAAUUUUUAUGUUAUUAUGAACCCGCUAUCCCAUGUGAAUAUCAGAUAUUUAUU